rnacentral:misc_RNA from 1 species
GAAAUGCGAUAAGUAGUGUAAAUUGCAGAAUUUAGUGAAUCAUCGAAUCUUUAAACGCACAUUGCGCCCUUUAGUAUUCCUUAGGGCAUGCCUGUUCGAGCGUCAUCUAAACCCUUAAGCCUAGCUUAGUGUUGGGUGCCUGUCCCGCCCCCGUGCGCGGACUCACCUUAAAUCUAUUAGCGGCCCUCGUGCUAGCCCUAAGCGCAGCAGAAACGCAGUCUUGUAGCCCGGCGGAGCGUGCCCCUAGAAGCAACACUUACCGUUUUAACCUUAGAUCAGGUAGGGAUACCCGCUAAACUUAA